rnacentral:rRNA from 1 species
UNNAAACCUGCCCAGCAGAAUGACUAGCGAACAAGUUUUAYCCAUYGCAGNCGUAGGAUCGACGGUUGGCGACUAGCUCGCCUUCCGCCACCUCGCUUGANNNGGGCAGCMGCACWUGUGNCGGGUGCWUCGGCACAUCAACGAACCCCGACGUGAAAAACGUCAAGAAACAUUAAGUCAAUGUGUGCAACGCGCUUUGCCCGGGCAACCGGUGCACUGUACGAUGCCAUGUCAUACAAUA